rnacentral:tRNA from 1 species
GGGGUAAUAGCUCAGUGGUAGAGCGCAUGCUUAGCAUGCAUGAGGUCCUGGGUUCUAUUCCCCAGUACCUCCA